GUAGCUAUAGGCAUUGAUCUUUCUUUUUCUCUGAUAAAAAAAAUCAUAUUAAUAUGACAUCCUGCAGCUCUUUGAUGUUUACAUAGUAUCAGUACAGGGAAAUACUACUUUCAGUUUGAUACAUAAAGCCCUCCUUGUCUCUUGUGUCUUUUGUCUGUAGGCUAUUAUGCAUGUGACUAAAGCCAUGCAUGACUUAAGCAAAUGUUUGAAUAGGGUUCUUGUGUAGUAGGACUGUAUAAGCCAUUAGGCAUACUCUCUUUAACUUGGUGAUGAAAACAUUAUGGUACAUUUGGUCACACAAAGUAGAGUAAAAUUGCUUUUGUGGCAGCAGAAUAAACAGCGUUCUAAUCUGUGGGGGUUUUUUCUUGUGCACGUGUGUGUGCGCUGCAUACUUUCGGCAAAAUUAUCAAGCAGGACUGAACAUGAAAAGUGUUAAAGUUAUUGGAGUUGUGAAGUGAAAGCUGGGCCGAAGAGAGAAAAAAAGUAUUGCUUUUUUCAUUCUGAAAUUUAAAAUCAACAUUAUUCUGUCAUAUUUGUGAUCUGAGCUUGAAAUCUGUUAAUUGACAUGUGAGGCAGUUGCUAACCAUCUCUGUCAUUUAUAAAGCCCUUUGUAAGGGUGCUGUUUUUCUUUCUUCUCUAUAUGUGGUGAAUACUGGAGUAGAGACUUGAAUUUUUGCUGUGGGAAUGUGAAAAACACUGGAAGCUGCUCUCUGCCAAGUUAUUUCCCCAAGGAUCUGCUUUACAUUCUGACAAUCAAUGACCUGUCAGGUGUAGUUAUGCACCAUAGCAGUGAUAUGAGGUCAAUCAGAUGAAAGCAAGAUAUUUUGAAAUCAUCUGUUGAUUUUUCUGUGCUGCAAGACCAGCAUGUGAAUCAUGUCAGCAACUAUACUCCAUGUUUCAAAAACAUGUAAAAAUGUUACAGUUCUUCAAACAGAAGAAGCAGACAUCAGAUCCAGAGUGGAGUGCUGGACAAAGAACACAAAGCUAAAUGAAACUGCCAAAGCUGUCACGUGUUUCAACCGAAUAGCCACAAUUCUGUGGCGCUGUGCAAUACUUUCCCUUUCCUCUCUCCCCACCUUAGAUGUCACAUUUCCUUACACUGACAUGUGGUUGGAGUGUGGUUGGAAUGUGGUUGGAGGCUCCUGGCAUAGAUUGACAUUGGUCCACUGAAGGGAAGCAGCUGGGAACCACUUUCCACCAGGACAAAGCUGCUGUAUCCAGAGGGACACCAAAGGCAUUACCUAUCUGCUCAUGCCAGUUUCUUUCUGACCGAAGACACGGCUGACCAGCAAACCUUGGUGCUUUUGAAAGGGAUUUCCUCUUUUGGGCUCUCUGAAUGAUUUUGAGGCAACAUCAGGCUAAGAAGACCUCUGCCAUCUGACAUAAUUUUACUUUGUCAUUUUUGGGGCACUUGAUUGAUCUUAAGAUAUUAAUUUUUGUAUGUAAUAAGGCUAAAAUGUAGAAAACAUGGUACUGAUUCUUUUUCUAGUUCUUAUGACUGCUCUUGCUUUCAGUUCUGUAGAGGAAAUCUAAUGCUUCAGACUGGGCUAUUCUAUUGAACUUCUAAAAAUUGCCUUCUCCCACUGUCAACAAGUAUGAGCUUGAGACCUGCCCUUGGGUACAUUCUCAGGGCUGCAAAUUUGCCCUGGGCACAGCAGUGAGGAAAUCUCAGCUUGCAGUGUGUGCAUCUCCCCCCAUCAAACUGAAAGCCAGGCCAGUUCACUAGACAUUAAAAAAUCUAGAUUUUCUCAAAUCUUGCAAGACAUUUGGAUAAAACUGGAGGCAUGGAGUGACUAAUAAAACUGGAUGAGAAGAAAGUAAAAAUUUUGUC
ensembl:lncRNA